UACGUAGGGUGCAAGCGUUGUCCGGAAUUAUUGGGCGUAAAGAGCUCGUAGGCGGUUUGUCGCGUCUGCUGUGAAAACUCGGGGCUUAACCCCGGGCCUGCAGUGGGUACGGGCAGACUAGAGUGCGGUAGGGGAGACUGGAAUUCCUGGUGUAGCGGUGAAAUGCGCAGAUAUCGAGAGGAACACCUGCGGCGAAGGCGGGUUGCUGGGCCGACACUGACGCUGAAGCGCGAAAGCUAGGGGAGCGAACGGG
rnacentral:rRNA from 1 species